CACCCGCCCCCCAUCUCACGGCGAGUGCCGCCAGGCGGGGCCGCGCCGCACCUGAGGCCGUCCGCACCCCCGUCGCUGCCCCCGCUGUACGCGCUUCUCCCUCCCGUGUGCACUCGGGGUCCGGAGAGUUCCCCGUCUGCGGGCAGAAGGAUGGGAACAGAACUGCGUUUUCGUUAUGUGACGCGGAACAAGGACGGGGGGGAGAGGGGGGUCCGGGAGGGUUCUCGGUUGGUGAUGCUACAGCCCUCGGCUCAGAAAUGCCACUUGGUUGGAAACUGUGAGGAACAUCUGUAAGAGGGAACGGGGCUGAAGCCUGCAGUAUUCGUUGUAUGGUCCGUACGGGCAAACAAACGGUAAAACCCGGCUGGAAAGCUCCGCUUUUCUGGUGUCGCUGAAUUUGCUGUGGCACAACAGCCCCAAGCACCUGGUGCGACGCUCCUGCAACCUGCCGUGCAAUCCAAGUCCAGGGCCGCUUUAGUCCUGAACCUCUCUGCCCUGUGCUCACCCUGCCAACCUUCAGUGUCCCUCUAGUAAUCGCUCCAUUGCUUGGACUUUCCGCUUCUGUCUCAUUUCUUCUCUGGUUUGAGCUUAGGGCUUCUCUGGGUGCGGCGAUUUUGUUCUAUGGGAUCACACAGUGCCUGUGGUACCUGGGAUGCUGGGUUUCUUCAUGCAGAAGGCGCCUCUAGCCUCGCUGGCUGACAGCAUGGCCCAAGCAGAGCAGGCUGGUUGUUCCCUGUGUCGCUGGGAAGCCAUCAGCAGGCAGAACGGAUGAUUGAAAAUACUGCUGCAGUACACAAUUGCUGAAGUUGGUCGUAUUUCACUUCACAGAUUGGUUAACAAAAAGUUGAUGGAACAGAAAUUUUGGCUAAGCUCACUCUAUCCUCAGAAAAACAUCCUUACCUUCGCUCUUCUCCGUAGAACUUUUAAGUUACAAAACCACAGAGCUCUGUUUUCAGAAAACACAAUUUAGGAAAAGGAUCCAUCGUGCCAGUUCUCAUCUGCAAAGUACUUCUCCCGCCCAGCCAAAUUCUGCCUUCUGUACGAUGAAUCACGGAGUCAUUAAGGUUGAGAAAGACCACUAGGAGCACAAGCCCAGCCGUCACCAUGCCCAGCCGUGCCCACGUCCCUCAGUGCCACAUCCACACGGCUCUUGAUCACCCCCAGGGUUGGGGCCUCCACCACCUCCCUGUGGUGGAGGUGGUGUGGUGGUGGAGGCCUGUGCCACUGCCUCGCCACUUCUAAGAAACGUUUCCUAAUAUCUACCCUGAUGAAGACUGAGAGAAUCACAUAGGUGCUUCACCCCUGCCGCUGCACCCUGUGCACCUGGCUAAAAAUGUGUAAAAAUCACAUUCCAGAGCUGUUCUUUGUAACAUGAUGUGUCUGUGGAGAAGCACAGCCAUGUGUCGCAGCUCUCGGGGCAGCCCCCUCUCCAUUCCCAGUACUGGUCAGUGCUGGCCUCGUGCAGCCUCUCACCUGCCCACCCCCCUGCAGGACCUGGGGCCUACAGUCAGGGCCGCUGCUGCCAGAUUAUUAUUAUUAUUCUUUAUCUUCUGUGAAAAACAUUGUGGUGGUUUUUUGUUUGUUUGUUUUGUGUUGGAAGAAAAAAAGGAAAGAAAGAAAGAAAAAAAAAGCUGUGUUGUUUGCAGUCUGUUAUACAUUAACAGAAGUUAUGUUGCGGUGAGCAGGGCCGGACCCGGGUGCCCAAUGCGAAAACGCUGACUGUCAGAUGUUUGCAUCUCAAUAAGCUGUCUGUGCUGGAGAGCUUUCAGGGAUAAAGUCCCAAAUAGCUGAAGUAUUGCACUGCGUGUUUUCCUCAGCCACAACUGAGAACAGCUGAGUGCACUGCAAACGAUGGCAGCAGAGUGGCAGUCUGACAGAAUGGCAUCUGACAUGGAAGUGCGUAUGAAGCAAAGAUGUCUCAUGGAAUUCCUGCAGACAGAAAAAAAUGGCACCCGUUGACAUUCACUGAUGCUUGUUGAACGUUUAUGGAGCCAAGCAGUGAAUGCGAGCACGGUGAGGGCUGGGUGGUGUGUCUCAGAGAGAUGCUGUCACAGCAGCUGACUUCACCCCAGUUGUAUCUGCUGUACCUGACACAACUCCCACUCAGAGCACUGCUGGUGCUUUCCACCUCCCCGCCCCUUGGAAGCCAACAUUCUUCAUCUUUCUUCUCCCAGUGCAAAUUUUCUCAGUCCCACGCUUGCUCUACCUGCUCUAUCACUCUUGCACUAUCUAUUCGACUCACUCCUGUGCAGUCCCAUUAAACCUCUCUGCUGCUUUGCAUUUCACCUGCUGGAUAAUCCUCACGCACACCACUUAGUACAUCAGCUCACCACCUACCAACUUGUUCACGUGCUGUUCUUCCACAGAUGCCACUGUUUAAAAUCACUAUAAUUCCAUGAAGUCUUACCACCACCUUUUCACAGAAAUACCUGCUUUACUUUUUAUCCAUUGAAUUUCAAGAGCCUUCUCUUUAAGCCUUUUCCAUUAAAGCACUUACUUGCAACUCCUCUCUAAUCUUUCUAUAAAAUCCCACCUAUGUUUCAAGAUACUUCUGAGGUCAAAUCUCCUUGUAGAAGUAAAAUAAUCCUCCACCGUAGCACUGUUGUC
ensembl:lncRNA